rnacentral:rRNA from 1 species
GACGAACGCUGGCGGCGCGCCUAACACAUGCAAGUCGAACGAGCGAGAGAGAGCUUGCUUUCUCAAGCGAGUGGCGAACGGGUGAGUAACGCGUGAGGGACCUGCCUCAAAGAGGGGGACAACAGUUGGAAACGACUGCUAAUACCGCAUAAGCCCACAGGUCGGCAUCGACCAGAGGGAAAAGGAGCAAUCCGCUUUGAGAUGGCCUCGCGUCCGAUUAGCUAGUUGGUGAGGUAACGGCCCACCAAGGCAACGAUCGGUAGCCGGACUGAGAGGUUGAACGGCCACAUUGGGACUGAGACACGGCCCAGACUCCUACGGGAGGCAGCAGUGGGGAAUAUUGCACAAUGGGGGAAACCCUGAUGCAGCGACGCCGCGUGGAGGAAGAAGGUCUUCGGAUUGUAAACUCCUGUUGUUGAGGAAGAUAAUGACGGUACUCAACAAGGAAGUGACGGCUAACUACGUG